GACGAACGCUGGCGGCGUGCUUAACACAUGCAAGUCGAACGGUGAAAGCGGAGCUUGCUCCGCUGGAUCAGUGGCGAACGGGUGAGUAACACGUGGGCAACCUGCCCCUCACUUCGGGAUAACUCCGGGAAACCGGGGCUAAUACCGGAUAUGACCUCCUUGGGCAUCCUUGGAGGUGGAAAGUUUUUCGGUGAGGGAUGGGCCCGCGGCCUAUCAGCUUGUUGGUGAGGUAGUGGCUCACCAAGGCGACGACGGGUAGCCGGCCUGAGAGGGCGGCCGGCCACACUGGGACUGAGACACGGCCCAGACUCCUACGGGAGGCAGCAGUGGGGAAUCUUGCGCAAUGGGCGAAAGUCUGACGCAGCCAUGCCGCGUGAAUGAUGAAGGUCUUAGGAUUGUAAAAUUCUCUCACCGGGGACGAUAAUGACGGCACCCGGAGAAGAAGCCCCGGCUAACUUCGUGCCAGCCGCCGCCGUAA
rnacentral:rRNA from 1 species